rnacentral:lncRNA from 1 species
CCUGCGCUUCCGUUCGCUUGACUGGCUGCGCUUGUUUUCAGGGUUUUGGUCUGAAAACGGAUCUUACCUGCGCAGAGCAAAAUCGGUUGUAGAUUAUAUCCACGAAAAUUCCUUCUAUUAAAAUGAAUUUCAAGUCCCACCUACCCUGGAAGCAGAAAGAGAGAGAAGAGAGAGAGUAAAGAGAAAGAGAAAAGAAAGAGAAGUUGAAAAAGAGAAAGAAAACCAAGAAAGAAAGAGAAAAAAACCGAAAAUAAAUGGACAAGAAAGAAAAGUCACUGGGAUCCUGGACUACGGCACUGCUCCAGGCAGGCCUGGUUAUCCUGCUUGAGGCAGCAAUCCUCUUGAGCCUAGUGAAAUGCAACUGGCUGUACCUCAAUGAUGUUGCCCUGAGAUUCUGCCAGUCGAGGCCAACGUGCCAUGCAUCCCUGGAGCAUGAAACCCAGGAUGGGCCGCCUUCCAGCCUCCCACAGCUGUGAUGCAAGUUGAACACAUACAGAGAGACUGCAUCUGCACUGGGUGGUUUUCCUGAGCCUUGGGGAGCAGAAUGCAUGAAUCCCAGGUAUCUGCCGAUCUGUAUGUAACAAAUUCACUUCAUGUAACUUACUGUGUGUCCGUGAGAUUAUCUCUCACUCAACUCAGACACAUUGGCAACCAGUGUGCAGUGAACCUGCUUCACAAGCAAGGAUGUGGAGAAACUAUUUUCGUACAUUUUGUGGGAAUCUGAAAUACUGCGGUCAGUAUGGAAAGCAGUAUCAUGGGAAACUUCCUCAACUCAAGAUCACCUACCAAUCCUUACAGAAUCAGAAUCAUCAUACAAACUGGUGAAAGCAUAGUUUCCCCUAGAGGUUGGGAUGAGGGCAAGAAUGUCCCCUCUUAUCACUACUAUUCCACACAAUAUGAAAGGUUCCAGCCAGUGAAAUAAAGGAAAAAGAAAUAAAAGUGACAGGCUGGGUGUGGUGUCUGAGGCCUGUAAUCACAGUGCUUUGGGAGGCUGAGGAAGGAGGGUGGCCUGAGGACAGGACAAAAAAAAUAGUGUACCAACAGAAAAUAUGUUGGUUGUGCAGGCUAAUACCUUUCCCAAAGGAAGGUAGCUACAUCCCUAUGACCUGUGUUACUGGAUAUAUCAAAAGGGAGUUUGCAAAUGUGGUCUAGAUAAGGAUCUUUAGAUAGACAUCCUGAAUUAUAUGGUCAAAGUGAUAGAAUCACAAGGUUCAAUAUCAGAAGGGUGCAGGUGGAUGCGAAGGGACAGAGACAGUGGUGAUGUGUUGAAAAUAGAGGGAUAAAGAGAUUUUUUUUCUCACCUUUAAAGAUGGAGGAAGUGGACCAUGAGUCAAAGGAUGUAAGUGGCCUCUGGAACCUACAAAGGGUAAGGAAACAAAUUCUCCCCUGGAGAUUAAUGAAGAAUCACAGAACUAUGGACCCAUAUUAGAUAUGUGACUUACAGAAUUAUAAAAGAAUAAAUUUUUCUUGUUUUAAGCCAAUCACUGUGUAUAGCAAUAGGAAACUGAUGAAAUGAUUUUAUGUAGAAAAUUCCAAAAAAAUCUACAAAAAUCUCUAGAACAAGAAAAAUGUAAAGGUAGCAAAGUAUAAGGUCAACCUACAAAAAUAUCGUAUAUUUCAUCAGCCAGGCAUGGUGGCUCGUGCCUGUAAUCCCAGCACUUUGGGAGGCCAAGGCAGGCAGAUCACUCAAGCUCAGGAGUUUGAGACCAGGCUGGGUAACAUGGUGAAACCCCAUCUCUACAAAACACAAAAAUUUAACAGGCCAUGGUGGCACAUGCCUGCAGUGCCAGCUACUGGGGAAGCUGAGGUGGGAGGAUGACUUAAGCCUACUCAGGAGGCUGAGGCAGGAGACUAGCUUAAACCUGGGAGGCAGAGGUUGCAGUGAGCCGAGAUUGCGCCACUGUACUCCAGCCUGGGCAACAGAGUGAGACUCUGUCUCAGAAAAGAAAAAAAAAAAAAAAACUAACAGGAUUUAUACUAUUGGUUUUCCACAGAAUUCUCCCAGUUGCAGAGUUUCCCAAACACUAUUUAUUAGUGUGGCUUUGCAGGGUGCAGUGGCUCACACCUGUAAUCCCACCAGUUUGGGAGGCAGAGGAAGGAGGAUGACUUGAGCCCAGGAGUUCCAGGCUGCAGUGAGCUAUGAUUGCCACUGCACUCCAACCUGGCUAACAGAGCAAGACCCUGUCUCUCAAAAAAUAUAUAUAUAUAUACAGCUUCCACUCUGCCCAUCUGAGCUCUUACCUGUGUUCACACCUUUGAUCCAUUCCCUCCCAUCUGGAUUUUUUUGCUAUUUUCCCUUCACUCUCCAGAGUCCAGGGCUCUCUCCUUUGCUCCCACAUAGAGAUAAUACUCAGGUCAGGAAGACAGAUUCCUGUUUAUAAAAAAAGAGAACCAAGGUGUACUGUGGCACCUUUAAAACUCAAGCCCUGGGCUGGGUGCAGUGGCCCAGGCCUGUAAUCCCAGCACUUUGGGAUGCCGAGGCAGGCAGAUCACUUGAGGUCAGGAGUUCGAGACCAGCCUGGCCAACGUGGCAAUAUGCUGUCUCUACUAAAAAUAUAAAAAUUAGCCAGGUUUGGUGGUGGACGCCUGUAAUCCCAGCUCCCUGGGAGUCUGAGGCAGGAGAAUCACUUGAACCCGGGAGGUGGCGGUUGCAAUGAGCUGAGAUAGCACCACUGCACUCUAGCCUGGGUGACAGAGCGAGGCUCCGUCAAAGUGAAAGAAAAGAAAGAGAGAGAGAAAGGGAGGAAGGAAAGAGAGAAAGAGAAAGAAAGUCAGUCCAUGGUUUCCAAAACAUACUUCUGUUUCCAUUAAUUUAUUAGGAAUGCUCUUCCAUCUGGCUGUUGAUCUGUGUCCUGUGUAACAUCCUUUAUAACAAAUGGUACACCUCAGUAAAUUGUUUCUCCAAGUUGUGUAAAUCACUCUAGCAAUAGCAAAUUCUGGGGGCAGUUUUGUGCAACUGAGCCCUCAGCCUCCUGUGAGAUCUAAUGCUAACUCCCUAUAAAUGGUGUCAAAUUGAGUUCAAUUAGAGAACACCCAGUUUUUAUCUGAUGAAAAAUAGCUUGUUGGUGGGAAGUAAUCCCCACACAUUUUGAUGACCGGAGAUGAGGCAUUCUGUGUUGAGCAUUCACUAUUGUGUUGAUUGUGAGUAGAAAAAACACUUUGGUUUUUCCUCCUAUCUUAUACACUCACACACCCUACCCCAUCCCAGAAGUGAAGAUAGUGACCCAUACCUGAAUGAGUCAAGUCACUGCCUGCCGUCUGGCAGAAUAAGGACAGCAAAUGGAAGCUAACCUCUGAUACCAAGAAUUAGGAAAUGCACAUGCCUUAUAGACAGUUUUCCAAUUCUCAUCUUCAUCUGUAUAUUUUAAACAAAUGUGAUGUUUAUUAUAGAGAAAUUAAUCAUAAUAUCCAAUCAAUUCAUCAUUCAUCUGGAUUGAGUGUCCCCCUCUUUCCUCAUUACUGUGUGUUUCUCUACCUACCUCUCAUUCUCACCUUCUUUUCCUAGCUUUUUUUUUCUCUUUAUUUUUCCCCUAGGAUUCUCCUCAUUUCAAGCCCUUCUUCCUUCUCCUGCUCUUCCCUCUAUUCCUUCUCUUCCACUUGUUCUGCUCCUUUCUCACUUCUUUCACCUCUUAUUCUUCUUUCUGCCCAAUAUUUGUCUCCAAUUUUCAUAUAGUUCUGCCUCUUUCUUCCCCCCGUCUCUGCUGCCCCCUAGCUUCCCCUGUUAAAUCCCCUCUUCCCUGCUAUAUCCACCUGUCCCCUCUCUGGCAUCCCCAGAUCCCAGUUCUCCCCAGGCUGUGGUUCUCCCUGUGCUCUCCUUAUCACUGGCUGCCCCUCUUGCUCUCCCAGCACCAUGCUGCUCUGUCUGCCCUGGCUCCAAAUCCCUCCUUCUCUCCCCAACUCUCCAUCUGAGGAGCCUCCCCUUUUCUGCCCCUCUCCCUAUCUUGCUGAACUUUAUCUCUCUAGAAACCCAGUUUUUCUCUAAAUUUCUCUAGUUGCUUUUCUCCCCCUGCUCCUUUCUCAGCAUCUUCAUGCACUGUCUCUGCAAAUCCCUCAUCCACCAUCUACUUUGCCAUCUGUUUUGUUUUGUUUUUUGUUUUUUGAGAUGGAGUUUUGCUCGUCGCCCAGGCUGGAGUGCAAUGGUGCGAUCUUGGCUCACCGCAACCUCCGCCUCCCGGGUAAAAGCGAUUCUCCUGCCUCAGUCUCCAGAGUAGCUGGGAUUACAGGCAUUCGCCACCAUGCCUGGCUAAUUUUGUAUUUUUUAGAGACAGGGUUUCUCCAUGUUGGUCAGGCUGGUCUCAAAACUCCUGACCUCAGGUGAUCUGCCCGCCUCAGCCUCCCAAAGUGCUGGAAUUACAGGCGUGAGCCAUCGCACCCAGCUGCCGUCUGUUUAUGGGUCUCCUUCAUUCUUCUUUCCCAUUUCACCAUUUUUCUAUUUCCUCUCCUCCACACAUUCAUAGGGAGGGGACUGCAGUCAGAUCCCCACCUCAAGAGCCCAUUUCCUGUGGGAUGGAAUUUGGGACAAGAGAAACCUUAACGUCCUGAGAUAGAAGUCACGUCCCCACACUCGAUAUCAGGAGAAGGGGAGGCCUGGGGAGCAGAAGGGCCCCCGAUCAAGGAGGAAAAAGGCAGGAGAAAGUCAGGAGAGGGGCAGGGUCUGCAGGAUCCCAGGACCAGGAAGAGUUCACGGCCUCCCUGGGACUGGGGCUGCGUCGCUGCGCUCCAGGAGCUGACGAGGGAGCGGAGCAGAUGGGAAGCUCCCAGGGCGGGAAUCAACCUUGCGGUGAGGACUUUAAAAAAGGUGCGGGCCAGUGCAGGGGACACUGAAGGAUUUGAGGCAGGAAAACUCCGCGAUAAGAGCUGUCUAUAUGGCCCUGUGGCAGAAGCACGGGGGACACGACCCCAUGGAACUGUGUCCAUUAAACCUCUUUGUCUUCAUAAAUUACCCAGUCUCGGGUAUUUCUUUAUUAGCAGCGUGAGAACAGACUAAUACAGUAAAUUGGUAAUGGUAUAGAGUGGGGUGCUGCUAUAAGGAUACCUCAAAAUGUGGAAGCAAAUUUUGAACUGGGUAACAGGCAAAGGCUGGAACAGUUUGGAGGGCUCAAAAGAAGACAGGAAGACGUGGGAAAGUUUGGAGCUUCCUAGAAAAUGGUUGUUGAAUGGUUCUGACCAAAAAGUCCAGGCUGAAGGUGGUCUCAGAUGGAGAUGAGGAACUUUAUUGGAACUGGAGCAGAGGUGAGCUGCAGGGGCGGAGCCCUCAUGGAGAACCUCUGCUAGAGCAGUGCAGAAGUAAAAUGUGGGGUUGGAGCCCCCACACAGACUACUCACUACUCGCCUAGUGCAGCCGUGAGAAAAGGGCCACCCUCCUAUAGACCCCAGAAUGGUAGAUUCACCGACAGCUUGCACCAUGUGCCUGGAAAAGUAGCAGACACAACACCAGCCUGUGAAAGCAGCCAGGAGAGGAGCUGUACCCUGCAAAGUCACAGGGGCAGACAUGGGUUCCCUGCAAGACCACUGGAACCAACCUCUUGCAUAAGUGUGACCUGGAUGUGAGACACGGAGUCAAAAGAGAUCAUUUUGGAGCUUUGACUGCCCUGCUGGAUUUCAGACUGGCAUGGGGCCUGUGACCUGUUUUGGCCAAUUUCUCCCAUUUGCAACGGGCGUUAUUUAUCCAAUACCUGUGCCUCCAUUGUACCUAGGAAAUAACUAACUUGCUUUUUAUUUUACAGGCUCAUAAACAGAAGAGACUUGCUUGUCUCAGAUGAAACUUUGGACUGUGGACUUUUGAGUUAAUGCUGAAAUAAGACUUUGGGGGACUGUUGGGGAGGCAUGAUUGGUUUUGAAAUGUGAGGACAUGAGAUUUGGGAGGGACCAGGGGCAAAAUGAUAUGGUUUGGCUGUGUCCCCACCAAAUCUCAUCUUGAAUUGCAGCUCCCAUGAUCCCCACAUGUGGGAGGGACCCGGGGGGAGGUAACUGAAUCAUGGGGGUGGGAUUUUCCCAUGCUGUUCUCAUGAUAGUGAAUAAAUCUCAUGAGAUCUUAUGGUUUUAUAAAGGGCAGUUUCCCUGCACGGGCUCUCUCUUGCCCGCCACCACGUAAGACAUGUGUUUGCUCCUCCUUCACCUUCUGCCAUGAUUGUGAGGUCUCUCUAGCCGUGUGAAACUGUGAGUCCAUUAAACUUCUUUUUCUUUAU